rnacentral:rRNA from 1 species
UACAGAGGGUGCGAGCGUUAAUCGGAAUCACUGGGCGUAAAGGGUGCGUAGGUGGUCAAAUAAGUCAGAUGUGAAAGCCCCGGGCUUAACCUGGGAAGUUCAUUUGAUACUACGGAGCUAGAGUAUCGGAGAGGAUAGUGGAAUUCCUGGUGUAGUGGUGAAAUACGUAGAUAUCAGGAGGAACACCGGAGGCGAAGGCGGCUAUCUGGCCGAAUACUGACGUUGAGACACGAAAGCGUGGGGAGCAAACAGG